GUGAUGUCAUAACACUCACAGCGUGGAUGUCCUGGUGGUCUGGGGUUACUGGUACUGCUGCCAAAGGAGGACUGGAUGUUGUGGAUGGUCUACUGCAAAAUCUGCCUCUCUCUCCCCUGCAGCAACAAUUCAGGCAUCUGAAAGUCAUGGCGGGGUGGACGGUGGUGUUGCUGGGAAUGGUGUGAUCUGAUUCCUGGGACAAAGUCUGUGCCCUACUUUCUCCUGAACUCUGUGGCAAGGUGUCCUGAAUGUCAGACAGAAGUUCUGUUGUCUUAAAGCGACAUCACAAACCAAAGUCAACAUCCCUGGUCAUCUAUUCUGUUGCUCCGGCUAUAUACCACAAUAGAAAAAGAGUGGAAAAGAGCACCAUAUAAUUUCCAGAUUUGCGGUGGUAAUCUUUAAUAUUUUUGGGGGGAUGAGCCAACACACAUUUGAGUGAGAAUCCAAUUUACAUUUGAGGGAGAAUCCAACUCACCUUUGAGGGAGAAUCCAACUCACCUUUGAGGGAGAAUCCAACUCACCUUUGAGGGAGAAUCCAACUCACCUUUGAGGGAGAAUCCAACUCACCUUUGAGGGAGAAUCCAACUCACCUUUGAGGGAGAAUCCAACUCACCUUUGAGGGAGAAUCCAACUCACCUUUGAGGGAGAAUCCAACUCACCUUUGAGGGAGAAUCCAACUCACCUUUGAGGGAGAAUCCAACUCACCUUUGAGGGAGAAUCCAACUCACCUUUGAGGGAGAAUCCAACUCACCUUUGAGGGAGAAUCCAACUCACCUUUGUUCAUGUGUUUUUUCUAUGCACUUAUUUGAUUGUCACAAAGCUAAUUCCUUUCCUUUGGUAGAGAAAACUCUGAAGGUGGAAAUAGAAGCACAUGUUGAAUGUGUCUCCUUCCUCUGAUAGAUUCUGCGAAUAGACAAAAUCAACAAGAGAACACACUAGCAGCACUUUACGAUGUGCGUUUCAACUUCUAGCACUCUGGCUCAUCAAAACAAAAAUAAACUCACUGAAAUGAACAAUGCACAGCGCAAGCAAUUUUGGACAAAUGAACUGUUCUAUUUUCACUGGCAUUGUGACAGAUUGAAUGUAUUUGAUGCAUUUUCUUUGCUAAACAGAACAUUUAUUAUCAGCACGUUGUCUUAGAUAAAUGAGUUUGAGUAGGAGGAAAAACAACAUAAAAAGGGCUUUUGUUUUUCUAUAAGUAGUCAUUGGACCUAAUGUAUUAUAACAGAUAGUGCGCCGCAGAUAAUAGUUUUUUGACAGUAGUCUUCAACACUGCCAAGAAUUCUGUGUCCUAAAUUGAACCUUUGAGGAUUUUGAGUAGAACGGAGACGUGAAGCCGGGGGGAAUCGGGUCUGGAUCCUAAAAGCCCACUGAGGCUUUUUGUUUUUCUGGCCGCGAUGUAACAGUCAGGAACAGGUGCAGGAGCUUUCAAAUGUAUUAUUGGGGAAAUUCCCUUGUCUUUGUGAUCAUGGCUUUUUCAGUGAGGGACAGAUAUUCUCCCAAGGUUUAUGUUGAGUUGAUUGGGGCUCAUGAGAAAAAGUGGAAAGUAUUGUCACACAUAGCAAUCAUCACUGAUAUGUCAUUAACCUCCAGCAUCUGCAACUUCGAUGACACGUUCUGUAAUUUCCUCCCCCUCUUUCCCCCUCGUCCCGUCACAACAUUCAGGAGACACCGUGCCCAGGAUACGGAUGCAGAAUUACUGUCAAUACGUUGGCUCCCACAGCUCAUUCUGACAUUGGUUGCAGCAUAAUUAUGUCCUGCUGUAUCUGUCAUCCAACACUGGCAUAAAGUAUCGACAUCCACAUGGCUCCGUAUGAGAACAGCGUCCAUUUUAGGUCAGCAUCACAUAGAAGUUGGAAGUUGUGUUGAACUCAUACAAACAUCUCUCAUCCAGAGUUGGCUUCACUGGACUUGGUGUAAAAAUCAGACAAACAUGGUGUCAACAGUUGAAUCAUUGGGUCUAUAGCUGGCUACGUCAGUCAUAGUGAGUAACUUGCUAACAAUAAUAAUAUCUAAAUAUUAUAACCUAACACACUAUGCUUUGAAUUAGGUCAUCCUCUGAUUGGUUGAAGGUGAUCCAAUUGCUGACAAAUCAAUAUUAAAUAAUGCACUUCAUUACAGAUGUAUGCUCAAGCGGUUUGAAUGAAUAGGAUAGCCAGACUGAUACGUGAAGUGGAACAGGAAUAGUAAACAACGAUCAGGCAAAUCUUUACAAGGCCCCUGAAGCCUUUAAACCUCAUCUCUAAAGUCAACAGGAAAUAAUAUCUCCCUUCAUGUUCAGCUCGGCAAGUCACAGGAACAGAAAACUGUUAGGUGGCAAGACAGUCAGUCUGAACCUGUAAUUCAAACAUAAUUCACCUUUUGACUAAUGUUCUCAGUUGUUCUCUCACUGCUGUCCCAUAACACUUUCCAUCUAAUUUCACCUCACGAAGACGGCAAAAAACGAAAGGCAGGAGAUUUGUACUUAGCUCUUGAGGGAAUCUGUGAUUUUUUUUGCCAACUGCCUUCAUUGUGUUUACAUUGCCAGCUUUCAAGAAACUGACAAGAUUGGAAAGUUGGAAAGGAAGUGACAAGAAACACAAAACACAAUAUGAAGCUCAGUCUGCCACAAUCUGUUCCAUUGUCGGUUGCAAACAUUUAGGCUACUCCCCUGGACAUGCGCCAUUAAUUACAAAACUGAACCAUUUUCUCCAGUCUGUCAGUCAUUUGAUUUAGUUUCCCCACAGACAAAUAUAAAUGAGUUGAAGUAAUUAUGCUAAAUGGUUGUAUCAGAGGACUACUGUCAACAGAGCAACACUGAAAGCUCCUCUGUCUCUUGUUGCUCUGGCUGGCUAGCAGAUAAUACAUGUUGAUAUUUCAAGUGUCUCCAGUGUCUGUCAUUCUGUUCGGACCUGUGUGCUGUGCAGCUUGUUGAGGAAACUUGGCGGCUUUAAUUAUGUCUACAUGACAGAUGUUACAGAAUUGCAGAGCUCCUUGUCACAGAAACUUCAGCAGGAGGGACUAGGGUGUCAAAGAGAGGUGGCAGACUUGUCAAAAAAUCUGCCAGAUGUUAUGUCAUGGAAAUCAAAUAAAUAAAUAACUUGAUUUUCAGAAGCCAAUUUACCAGCAUCUGAAGCGCAGCCUUUGCUUGCAGCAAUUUCUUUAAUUACAUAUUUAUACAUAGACUUAAUUCAACAAAAUGAUUAAAUGAGAAAUAGGCUGGGUAAUACAAACACACCAUUGCAUUAAAAACUAGGGGUUUUAAAGGUCAUGGCAAGAAUGUUCCCUGUCUAUAAAUGUACGAUCAUUUACUCUACAAAAAACGGAAACAAAACCCCAGGAUGCUUCAGAGCUGAGUGUGACGGUGAAGGGCAGUGUGGAGUUUAUAUCAUACCUCAUUUUGUUUUUAUAUUAAGAAUAUCAUAUUUUCCACCACUUUUCUCACAAAAUUACAUUUUUUGAUAAAACAAAACAUUAGAGUGCAUUCUGAAAGUAUUCAGACCACUUAUUCACAUUUUGAUGCGUUUGAUAUGUUCCAUGUUGAUACGAUACCCUUAUCCUAAAAUUGAAUUUAAAAUGUUUUUUCCUAUCACUCUACACACAAUACCCCAUAAUGACAAAGCUAAAACAGGUUUUUAGAAUUUGUUGCAAAUGUAUUUAAAAAAAU